GUAGGAGGCAGAGCCCGAGUCCUGUUAGAGAGACAAGAGAUUUCCUGGAGAACCAACUUGGAAGGAUAGAUGGGAGGGGGAGGGAGGCAGCAGAGGCAGCUCCUGUGGUAGGGUGCCCUGGAGCAGCUUCCUGGAGAGGAAAACCUUCCCUCUCAGCAGGAAGCUUGUUCAGACACAGGGUGCUCCAAGGGGAGGUGAACCGGUCCCUUCUACAGGGAAGCGCUCCUUAGAAGAUGAGCUGAGCUGCCUGGAGGAGGCCAAGGCCAGCCGAGCCACCUGGAAGAAACACACACCCUCUGAGCUGUCUGGGAGAGGCAAGAGUCUAGCCCAGCUGCCUGGAAGACACUCAGAGCAGACCAGCUGCCUGAAGAAGACAGCCCCCACCCCUACUGGCUGAGCUGCUUACAGAGUGUGCAGUGAGCUCCAGGGUUCCAGCUUUCAUGAGCCGUCACUCCUGCUGGGGUGGGCUUUGCUGAUACAGCUGUCUUUGAAUCACUUCUACUCCUCGUGAGCUGUCAGAUCCCUUGGAACUGGAGUUACAGACAGUUGUGAGCUGCCAGGGCCUUGCUUCUCUCGAAACUACCCACAGGAAACCACUCCACACACUUCUGUCCAGAGUCACCCAGAUGAAGAGGCUGGUACCACUCCUGAGCUCCAAGCCACAGCCAUGGCACAGGACUUUUGUUCUCACUUACAGUUUUGAGAGCAUUUUGGAAAGUAGAAGGUUCAGUCAUGGCAGCGCACCCACAAAAGAGAAGGUAUCAGGCUCUACCUUCCCUCCAUCCAGCUGUUUCCCUAGCCUUGAACAGGACCCCCUGACUGUGGACCACGGAGGACAGUAUCACUCGCUGGUGGACAUUAUUAAAACGUCUCGGUGCCAUCAAAGACAUCUGAAAACACAAUUGCUAUGACAUUCCCUAAGAUGGAGGCACUAAGGCUCCUGAGAACCCGCAGAGCAGGAGAUACGAGGAAGGAAAUGGAAGGCCACAUGCCUCCCCAUCCUUGGGACCAGUAUGUGGGGGUGGAGAGUGGGUGGACUUAAGGCCGGAGAAUCAAGGAGGCACAUUUGAGGCUUCUUAGGAGUCAGAGGAAGGCUAGGAUAACCUGGGAGGUUUCUUGCUAUACCAGGCCAACCCCCAAAAUAAGAUGAGGUAGCCAAUGCCCCCAGAUGGUAGGAUGGUGUAGGAUGAUCCCACAUUGAACUGGGGUUGUGACUCCUAGAAGAUGGCUGAUCCUGUGCUGCUUCUGGGGCUAGGUCAUAAACAAUCACGUGGCCUUUGUCUUGCUCCAUCUUCAAGCUCUCAUUUUACAACAGUCACGUCUUGAGGGACACUCAGGCAACCGUGACAAGCUGAGAUUACGAGCCACAGCCAGGUGAACGUGCUGUCUCGGAAGCAGACGUCCACAGUCCUGGCGGAGCUUUCGGAUGACCCACAUGGCAGGUGACCCCAGCCUGACAAUGCUGGGGUGUGACUAUGUGAAGCCUUUCCUGGACUCCUGCUCUGCCAGCGUGUUCAGGAGAGGGAGACGCUAAGGUACAAGGGAAAGGACUAGGUGUGGCUGGGGCUGGAGUCAGAGUGACCUCUUCCUUCUCGAUCUCAUAUCCUUCCCAUCUAUCUCCUCUUCUUCCCCCCGCUUCAUCCUGACCCAUAGUAGUUCCGGAGGAAAUAGAGUUCACAUCAGGAGCUCCAUUGCAGUCUGUUAGUUUCCUUUCCUGUUGCUGUGACAAAAACUCUGACAAAAAUCAGCUUAAGGGAGAAAGGGCUUACUUUACCUCACAGCUGAAGGGUAAGAAAGCCAAGUGCAAGGAAGCCAUCAUGGCAAGAAAGCCAAGGCCACAGAGCAAUAAGCAGGUGGUCACCUUGAAUCCACAACCAGGAAGCAGAGUGAUACAUGCUUGUGUUCGGCUCCCUUUAUUCUUCUUAUACAGUCUAGGACCUGAGCCUAGGGAAUGAUGCUACCCACUUUUCCACCUCAACGUAAGCAGCCAAUCCCAUCCAUGUAUCCCUCAUAGGUGUGUGUAGAGCCUCCUAGACAAUGCAGGAUCCUGUUGCGCUGAUGAGGAGAAGCCUGCCUUUCAGGGACUCCGUCUACCAUCCACCCUAGGGUCUCGUCUGUCUCACGAAACAAGGAUCUGCAGAGAGACCUCAGCAUCAAUGGAUUUUGAGCAAGACUCUGCUGAAGAUAGGUGAGAAGCUGGCCUCCUUGGGGCAAUACCACAGCGUCAGAGAAGAAACGUGAAAGGCUGCAUACCUGCUGGAGAGCGAUGGUCCUCAAGGGCAGCUAGUAAAACAGGUUCCAUCUUUCC